CUACGGGCCGCUCCAGUGGGGAAUAUUGGACAAUGGGGGAAACCCUGAUCCAGCGAUGUCGCGUGAGUGAGGAAGGCCUUCGGGUUGUAAAACUCUUUUAUAGGUGAAGAUGAUGACGGUAACCUAUGAAUAAGCUCCGGCUAACUUCGUGCCAGCAGCCGCGGGUAAUACGAAGGGAGCAAGCGUUGUUCGGAAUAACUGGGCGUAAAGGGCGCGUAGGCGGUCUAAUAAGUUUGGUGUGAAAGCCCUGGGCUCAACCUGGGAAUAGCAUUGAAUACUGUUAGGCUAGAGGAUUGAAGGGGAUGAUGGAAUUAUGCAUGGAGAGGUGGAAUUCAUAGAUAUGCAUAGGAACACCGGUGGCGAAGGCGAUCAUCUGGGCAAUUACUGACGCUGAGGCGCGAAAGCGUGGGGAGCAAACAGGAUUAGAUACCCGAGUAGUC
rnacentral:rRNA from 1 species